UUCUUCUUUACUCAACUGAUAUACACUCUUCCCCCCCUAGCAAUGUCGACAUCUGAGCCCUGUGCACUUUGAGGCCGGUGUUGGAAACUAAAUUAUGCCAAAAUGUAUUGUACAUAGAAAUAGGUAAAAAGACCAAAAAAAAAAAUGAAAAAUGAAAAAAAAAAGAUCAGAUUAAGAAAUAUUGGAUAGUAAGAGUAGCUUGAUAUGUAGGCUCUUGAUACUGUUUUCUUUUGCUUAUAGAACUUUUUAUUGUAUUGUGGGGAUUAAAAUGUGUAUAUAUAUCU
rnacentral:lncRNA from 1 species